rnacentral:rRNA from 1 species
AGAGUUUGAUUCUGGCUCAGGAUGAACGCUGGCGGCGUGCUUAACACAUGCAAGUCGAGCGAAGCGGCUGAAUUGAUUCUUCGGAUGAUUUUCAGUUGACUGAGCGGCGGACGGGUGAGUAACGCGUGGGUGACCUGCCCCAUACCGGGGGAUAACAGCUGGAAACGGCUGCUAAUACCGCAUAAGCGCACAGAGCUGCAUGGCUCGGUGUGAAAAACUCCGGUGGUAUGGGAUGGGCCCGCGUCUGAUUAGGCAGUUGGCGGGGUAACGGCCCACCAAACCGACGAUCAGUAGCCGGCCUGAGAGGGCGACCGGCCACAUUGGGACUGAGACACGGCCCAAACUCCUACGGGAGGCAGCAGUGGGGAAUAUUGCACAAUGGGGGAAACCCUGAUGCAGCGACGCCGCGUGAGCGAAGAAGUAUUUCGGUAUGUAAAGCUCUAUCAGCAGGGAAGAUAAUGACGGUACCUGACUAAGAAGCCCCGGCUAACUACGUGCCAGCAGCCGCGGUAAUACGUAGGGGGCAAGCGUUACCCGGAUUUACUGGGUGUAAAGGGAGCGUAGACGGUGUGGCAAGUCUGAUGUGAAAGGCAUGGGCUCAACCUGUGGACUGCAUUGGAAACUGUCAUACUUGAGUGCCGGAGGGGUAAGCGGAAUUCCUAGUGUAGCGGUGAAAUGCGUAGAUAUUAGGAGGAACACCAGUGGCGAAGGCGGCUUACUGGACGGUAACUGACGUUGAGGCUCGAAAGCGUGGGGAGCAAACAGGAUUAGAUACCCUGGUAGUCCACGCCGUAAACGAC